AUACAGAGGGUGCAAGCGUUGUUCGGAUUUAUUGGGCGUAAAGCGCGCGUAGGCGGUUCGUUAAGUCGGAUGUGAAAGCCCGGGGCUCAACCUCGGAAGUGCAUUCGAAACUGGCGAACUUGAGUCUCGGAGAGGAUAGCGGAAUUCCUGGUGUAGGGGUGAAAUUCGUAGAUAUCAGGAGGAACACCCGUGGCGAAGGCGGCUAUCUGGACGAUGACUGACGCUGAGGUGCGAAAGCGUGGGGAGCGAACAGGAUUAGAAACCCCGGUAGUCC
rnacentral:rRNA from 1 species